CUCUUAAACGUAGUAUAUAAAAGAAAAUUAGGGGGAUGUAUUGAAUUGGGAAUUUGAGAAUGUUUGGAGUGAUUUUAGUUCUGGUGAGAUUUUGGAGGACUUUGAGUAAAUGUAGUUGAUUUUGGUGAAAUUUUAAAAAGAAAAGAAAACCCUAUUGACGAUUUGGAAAAAAUAUUUUUAGAUUUCAGAAUAGUUUAUCUGAUUUGGGAUUAUUUAUAAUUUUUCUUUUCUACAGCCGGAACAAGAUCAUAGUUAUAGUUAAAAUCGUCAUCUCAUAAAGUUCAAAUUAUCUGACAUCGUAACGUAAAUACAAU
rnacentral:lncRNA from 1 species